rnacentral:misc_RNA from 1 species
CUCUUCUUGAAUCCUACCUAGCAUCUCAUACACUGCUGUGGCAAUUUCAUCCACUGAACUCAGCUUACAGUCAUCUUCCACCUUGACACUUAGAGAAUAAAGUACGAUUUGGUGAAGUGUUGUGACAUUUAGGUGAAGGAUGGUCAGACGCAUAGUAAGCAACCCAGAAACAACCUUCAGCAGCUGCUUUGGUCUCCUUUUCGAUCUUAUUUUGAGGUUUGCAUGACUCUCCACCAU